AUACGUAGGGGACGAGCGUUGUCCGGAAUUACUGGGCGUAAAGGGCGCGCAGGCGGAUAUUUAAGUCAGCUGUAAAAGGCAUGAGCUCAACUCAUGUAUGCGGUUGAAACUGGGUAUCUAGAGUGCUGGAGAGGUAGGCGGAAUUCCCGGUGUAGCGGGUAAAUGCGUAGAUAUCGGGAAGAACACCAGUGGCGAAGGCGGCUUACUGGCCAGCAACUGACGCUGAGGCGCGAAAGCCAGGGGAGCGAACGGGAUUAGAUACCCCGGUAGUCCUGGCCGUAAACGAUGAAUGCUAGGUGUGGGUGUCGAGAGGCAUCCGUGCCGGAGUUAACGCGAUAAGCAUUCCGCCUGGGGAGUACGAUCGCAAGAUUGAAACUCAAAGGAAUUGACGGGG
rnacentral:rRNA from 1 species